UACAGAGGUCCCAAGCGUUGUUCGGAUUCACUGGGCGUAAAGGGUGCGUAGGUGGCUUGGUAAGUUCGAUGUGAAAUCUCCGGGCUUAACCCGGAAAUGGCAUUGAAUACUAUUGAGCUGGAGGUUUGGAGGGGGACUGGAAUUCUCGGUGUAGCAGUGAAAUGCGUAGAUAUCAAGUGGAACACCAGUGGCGAAGGCGAGUCUCUGGACAUUUCCUGACGCUGAGGCACGAAAGCCAGGGGAGCAAACGGG
rnacentral:rRNA from 1 species